GGCAACAGAGCGGGACUCCAUCUAAAAAUAAUAAUAAUAAUAAUAAAAUUCACAUGAGGGUGGAGAGGUUAGGAAACAGCUGUGCUUUUUAAGCUGUUGGCAGUGGGUCUGGAGUUUGGGGUUUGGAGAAGGCUCCCCAUUUCCUGGGCAGAUAGGAGUGAGCUGGGCUGAUGGCAGGCAGGUUCUAGAAGCUACCAGCCUUGGGAGCCCACCCUUCUCUUCCUCCCUCCUGGCUAUUACCCCCAGCACCUGCCCUAAUGCUGGCCAGAGUGGAGGGCGGAGGGCCAGCCCCUGACCCAGGUACCCAGUGGCCCCUCUGAGAUGCCUCUGGCCUCUGGCUGCUACCCUCUCCUGGGCAUUUUCCAUUUACUGUGAUGGCAGAAAAACCCAGUACCCUUAAACAGUAAACAACACAGUGAACUGUGAGUGAAGUCCGUGUGGGCUUAGCCAGACCUGUGUGUUUGCAAACCGGAUCCCAGUAUGGACUGUGCCCUGCAGGCGGCCUCUCUUGCUAGAAUCUGUUCUGGAACUAGCCCGGUUGAUGAGCAUGUUGAUAUUAACGGCCUGGCUUGGCCAAAGCUUCCGGCCCAGCACGCUUUAGCAUCAGCUGGUUAUUCUGAGAACAUUCUUUUCAAAACACUCUACAGGACAAACAGGCCGAGAGGUUCCUUUGUCCACAGCUGGCCUCUGAAACUGAGCAGACUCUCAAAGGGUUGAGAAGAACCCCGAGGAGGCUAUCGUCUGCACUCAGAGGCUGAAACGUUUGAAAACAGGUGCGGGAGGGGGCGGGGAGGAUGGUCAGUGACAGCACAUUCUUCAGCAAACAUGUGUCAUUUGUGCUUUUACCAGAGCGGAGCUUUUAAUUCCUAAAAUAUAACAGCCUGGUGCAGGGGCUGGAAGAAGAGGGCGCGUUUUAUGUGCAACUCUGCUAAGGGCUUGGUUGCUGAAUGAAAGGUUUGGUUCCAUGGAGGUUCAGGUACCUUCGCCUUCAGAACCACACCUUCCUUUUCAUCUCCAGCCUCCCUGGGCUCUCACCUGGCUGCUAGGGGGUCGGGGGUGGGUUGGUCUCAGCCCUCCUGGAGCUCUGCUUGCUACUGGGUGGGAAGGCUUGCUCUAUACUGCAGACAUCUUUCUGGAUUGAGGCUAUCAAUUGACUCCCUGCCCUCUGCCUCCUAUGUCCGUGAUUCCUGCUUGUCACAGAAGAGCUGCUGGGUCUUCGUUGCUUUUAUCUCCAAAGCCUUUUGAUGAGGUAGAAAGGAAAGGUCAUCAGAUUCAGGCUGACCUGCGUUUCCACUUCUGCGUUGUCAUUUGCAGCUGUGUGGCCUAGGACUAGUGGCUGAACCUCUCUGGGCCCCAGUAAGACGGGAAACCAAACACUGGCCUCAUUGCGUUGGUUAUCAUGCAGAGUCAGUAAGCCCAGGGAAAACAUUCACACAAAAAUGCUAAUAGCUGAUGGUUACUGAGCUCUUUGUGUGUAUCAUGCUCUAUUCGACGUGCUUGGCCAUACAUUAACUUAUUUGAUUUUUUCCAAAAUACUUUGAGAUAGAUACUGUUAUCGACCUCAUUUUACCAAAAGGUAACGAAGGCAUGGAGAAGGUAAAUUGCUUGCCAAGCGUUGCCUGAUUUUAAACCUCUGCGAUCUGUAUACAGAACCUGUGCUUAUAAUUUUGAUUUAAAUACUUACUAAAUAAACAAUAACUUUUAUUAUGUUGCUCGUUAAUACUCCCUGACAACUAAGUUGAAGCUACUGCUUAUCCUCAACUGCCAACAACCACUGAUGUCACUGGACUCCAGCACCCUUCGUAAUACAGACCCAUUAAUUUAUCUAAUCCAGAAAUACUGUUGUUGUUUUUUUUCCCCUUUUAGCAGAGCCCUCCCUAUUGGUUCAUAUUGUCUCCUUGGAACCUAUGUGGGUCUUCUUGGGGAUGAAGACAUUAUUGAAAUUUUUGCUGGUUGGGCACGGUGGCUCACGCCUGUAAUCCCAACACUUUGGGAGGCCGAGGCGGGUGGAUCACCUGAGGUCAGGAGUUCGAGACCAGCCUCGAAUUAUUAUAAAAUAAUUCCAACACGCUGAAACCCUGUCUACUAAAAAUACAAAAAAUUAGAAAAAAUUAGCCGGGCGCGGUGGCAGGCGCCUGUAGUCCCAGCUACUCGGGAGGCUGAGGCAGGAGAAUGGCGUGAACCCGGGAAGCGGAGCUUGCAGUGAGCCGAGAUUGCGCCACUGCAGU
rnacentral:lncRNA from 1 species